CACACACACACACAGAGGAGAGAGAAGACUGCAGAAAGGAAGAAUUGCGGAGACAUUCGCAGCGGGAGUUUUAGGUUUUUUGUCGGGGUUUAGGGGAGAUGCUGUCCCCACCGAGAAGAUGGAUCAGAGACCAGUGUCCGAGCGCUGUUACCUCAUGUGUGAAGAGAAGGGUGUGCAGCAGGCGUCAAUCUCUGUGGAUACUGCUAAUCCUGCUCGUGGUCUGUGUUGCCAUUCAGACGUUUGUCGCCCACCAGGCCAGGAAUGACAAGCUGACAGGACUCCCACAUCUGAGAUUGACUGUCAACAAACACCUGUUUUCUACUGUGCAAAAUGUCUGGGAAAUCGUCCAUUCUGAGACUUCAGAGGCCGUAAAGACAGACCCGAGGUCACUCCAGACAGCCAGAACUGCAGAACGUCAUCAUCAAAAUGAGGGAUAUCAAAAGCAAUCGGCUUAUUUUCAGUCAAGACAUGUGGAUAACCUUGCUACAGGCUCUCAGAUGGAGGCAAGAAAAGUUUCCCCUGUGACGCUGUUUCUACAUAAACAUGUAACAAGCCUUGGACUUCUAGGUCAUUUGGCCCCAGACAGUACUAGAAAAGGAUUAACUGCAGACACUCCCACUCCAUCAAGUAUUUUAAAGCCUCACAUCAACAGUGUUCAUACAAAAGCAACCUGCCACCCAAAGUCACACAUUUUUUUUCUCAAGACACACAAAACAGCAAGCAGUACCAUCUUAAAUAUCCUGUAUCGCUAUGGUGAAAGCAGGAACUUGACCUUUGCCCUACCACUGAACAAACACAGCCAGUUGUUUUACCCAUUCUUCUUCGCUUCACAUUUUGUGGAAGGUGUCAGCAGCCGAAGUGUAAGAGAGUUCCAUAUCAUGUGCAACCACAUGAGGUUUACAAAAUCUGAGGUGAGCUUCAUCAGAAAAUCUAAAAGUUUGGUAGUUAAAGUGUUGCCCUGUUUUGUAUUAUAUGUAUGAAUUUACAGCCCAGUUUACAUAUGCACAUGGACUUCAUAUCAGCUAAAUGUGGAAACAAAUUUAGAAAUGUGGGUACAAUGAAACGGUGUGGGUCUGGAAUAACACCUGGAUGAAAUUUAAUGUCUUUUGGAAACACAUUUUUGUCAAGUGCUUAAUUAUUCCAGUUAACAUAA